CCCUUAGACGUUCUGGGCCGCACGCGCGCUACACUGACCAGUGCAACAAGCAUCCUCCUUGGCCGACAGGCCCGGGCAAUCUUUGAACGCUGGUCGUGAUGGGGAUAGACUUUUGCAAUUUUUGGUCUUCAACGAGGAAUUCCUAGUAAACGCAAGUCAUCAACUUGCAUUGAUUACGUCCCUGCCCUUUGUACACACCGCCCGUCGCACCUACCGAUUGAAUGGUCCGGUGAAGCCUCCGGAUUGGCGCGCACCUCGGUGCCGCCGAGAAGUUGGCUAAACCUUACCAUUUAGAGGAAGGUGAAGUCGUAACA
rnacentral:rRNA from 1 species